UGUUGUCUUCUGUGCUGAAGGUGGGUCAAGAGGAGUUUUGUUGUCACAGAGCCUCUGAUGCUGAAUGAAGACAGAGUUUGGAAAAAGACCAUGCAACUUGCAACUAGCGUGUUCUCUACUGCCAGUGGAAGUGACCAGUGAUAAUCUUCAAAUAGCGUAGCCUGACUGUACCUGCUGUCUAUUUUACCAUCUAGUCUUUUUAUGGACCUCAAAAUUGGGACAGGGUAAGAUUGCCUAAUAGGAAGGGACUGGGUCAAAUUAGACUCUGUUCUCCUACCCAUGUGUGCUCUGGCUUUUCCAAUGUGACUUUGGUCCAAGCUGACGCCUAGGUAAAGGGUGACAAAAACUGAAGAGGAGAAAGUGCGGGAAUGUCCCGGCAGGAGACUUUGUACUGGGGAAGGACUUGCUGUGGCUGCUUUAGUUCUGUGGGACUUCUCUGAAAGGGAAGGAUGAAAAAUCUGCUGUUCUGGCUGUUGUAUCUGAAGCACUGGCAAGGAUAUUGCCCCUCCCUCCCCCCAGUUUACACAUGCAUUCAUUCCUGAUGGCGCAUAACAGCAAGCAAAAAGCCAAGAAAAUGAGCUUCUUUCAUAAAAUGAAACUUGUAAAUUCAUCUCCUCCAGAAAUCCAAAGCAUGAUGGUGCAGUGUUGAUCACUUUGUUAUCCUGUGAAAAGAUGUCUUUGUUCUUCAUAGCAGUCUGGAAGCCAAAGGUUAAAGGCUGAAUUCUUCCUAUGCUUUUUCUCAGGCUGAAUCUCACCCAAGAGAUCAACCAGAUCCAGACUUUGUGUCAGAAGCCCUUGCAAAAAAGGAUGAGCUCAAUUUGCAAAUGUGUGAGAAAAGCCAUGAGGUAAAUGAUUGAUAGGAGAAAUAUGAGGGAGAGAGAUUCUCUUUAACACCUAUUUCAUUCUGACAUAUAAACAAAGCACCUACUUGUUCACUUAGGUUUCCUUUUUUAAUGUAAUACCAAGUAAUGGAGGGAAAAUUGUUCAGUCUCACUGAACAUGUUAUCCCACUUCCUUGCAAGUGUGCCCAGAGUACAAUGUCUCCCAUCCAGCACUACUCUAGACCUUCAUAGAAAAGCCCUGGGUCUUUGAAUUUCUUUGUGCACCAUCUUGUUUAUCAGAAUACGAUUUUUUUUUUUUUAGUUUCCUGACUGGAAUGGCACCUGUGCCACUUAAAUAUGUUAGAAAUGGCUGCUUCUCUCUUCACUGAAAGGAAGACAUAAUUCUGGGGGUUGGUCACCAUUGCUUGAUUCCAGCCUUUCUGCUAUCUUUGGGCUUGACUGUCACACGCAGCCUUCCUAGAAGAGAUUGUAUGUGUGUCUAGGUAAAUGAUGUGCAGGUAAUUAAAAGUCUAAGAUUUAUAUUUAGAACUAAGCUAACAUUUGAAUUUGUAUAAGCUGUCUGUGCUGUGCAUGUCUUCAAGGCCAAUCUUUAUUUCAGGUAAUAGCAAGUGAUAUUUGAAGGUGAAACUUUGCAUUUUAGUAUUUAUUAGUAACUUUUUUGCUCUAACUUUAUUUAUCUGUAUUGUUGUGGAGUCUCAGGCUUGGACCAAAAUAAUAAAUCUG